UACGGGGGGGGGCAAGCGUUGUUCGGAAUUACUGGGCGUAAAGGGCUCGUAGGCGGCCAACUAAGUCAGACGUGAAAUCCCCCGGCUUAACCAGGGAACUGCGUCUGAUACUGGAUGGCUUGAGUUUGGGAGAGGGAUGCGGAAUUCCAGGUGUAGCGGUGAAAUGCGUAGAUAUCUGGAGGAACACCGGUGGCGAAGGCGGCAUCCUGGACCAACACUGACGCUGAGGAGCGAAAGCCAGGGGAGCAAACGGG
rnacentral:rRNA from 1 species